AAACAGAUAAUGUCCGAGGAUGUCAGACAAUUUUUGAAGAACGUUCACGGCUAAUUAUGUGUUUACAAGUAUUGGCUGCUAGGAAUAUUCAAACAAUUCCAAAUCGCCAGUCGAGUGAAAGUUAAGUGGAAGCUUAAACUCGUCCAGCAAUCCCAUUUCAAUCCAAUCGAAAACUUGUGUGACACCUAAAAAUCGAUGCAUUUCGAAUGGACUCCACUUCAUUAAGCUGCCGUUGUAUUCUAGUGCGCAAAAGUGAAACUUUUCCGAGCUGGCUAUCAUUGGCGUUAGUUCGAUUUACCGGCUGAAAAAAAUGAAAACAUUGAAAAUAAACACAUACUAUGGCAACGAGGAAACAAGCAAACGACGCCAAAAGCAAAUCAACGAAAAAAAGGGUUAAAAAAGCAAUAAAUAAAACAAGGAGCCGCGGCGACGGCUGCGCCAACAACACAGACAGAGACAACAACGGCUCCUGUUGUUGUUGUUGUGAUUGUUGUUUUUGUAAAGGGAUCAGGGAUGCGAGGCUGGGGCUGCUGCAACCCUGUGACAGGCAAAUCGCCAAACGAAUACCGUGGGGAUGUUGAUUCCAUCCGUCCGUUGUCCGCUAGGCUUCAUGUGUGCGCCUGUCUCUGUCUCUGUGUGAGUGUGAGUGUGGAAUUUUCAUUUUGUAAAUUUGUUUUGCUUGUUCCGUUUGGCUUCAUUUCCGCUUCCUUCGACCGUCUGCCAAUACCACUACAUGAUUUGUGCCUUUGCUCUCACUGAUUUUAAUGCAAAUAUCUUAGGUAUGGCCCACAAAUGAAAAAAUAGCUAUAUAGCGUACGUACAUAUUUUAUUUCUACGCUUUCUGAUUCUAGCUACGAAAAAACUGACGACAACACCACUGACAUCGCACUGUGGGCCAACAGUUGCUUGUAGCCGGAUAAAAAUCAAAUAUACAAAUACAUAAGCAUAGGAAAUUUUGCGUUAAAAUAAUAAUCAUAAUUAUAUAAUUAUAAUCAAGUGACUGCAGAUUCAGAAAUAAAAUAAAUUCGAUGCCGGA